UACGUAGGGGGCAAGCGUUGUCCGGAUUUAUUGGGCGUAAAGAGCGUGUAGGCGGCCAUGCAGGUCAGCUGUGAAAACUCGAGGCUCAACCUCGAGACGUCGGUUGAAACCGUAUGGCUAGAGUCCGGAAGAGGAGAGUGGAAUUCCCGGUGUAGCGGUGAAAUGCGCAGAUAUCAGGAGGAACACCGGUGGCGAAGGCGGGUCUCUGGGAAGUAACUGACGCUGAGAAGCGAAAGCAUGGGUAGCAAACAGG
rnacentral:rRNA from 1 species